ACUCCGUACGGGAGGCAGCAGGUAGGGAAUCUUCCACAAUGGGCGCAAGCCUGAUGGAGCAACACCGCGUGAGUGAAGAAGGGUUUCGGCUCGUAAAGCUCUGUUGUUAAAGAAGAACACGUAUGAGAGUAACUGUUCAUACGUUGACGGUAUUUAACCAGAAAGUCACGGCUAACUACGUGCCAGCAGCCGCGGUAAUACGUAGGUGGCAAGCGUUAUCCGGAUUUAUUGGGCGUAAAGAGAGUGCAGGCGGUUUUCUAAGUCUGAUGUGAAAGCCUUCGGCUUAACCGGAGAAGUGCAUCGGAAACUGGAUAACUUGAGUGCAGAAGAGGGUAGUGGAACUCCAUGUGUAGCGGUGGAA
rnacentral:rRNA from 1 species